GUCCCCUUCGUCUAGAGGGCUCAGACACCGCCCUUUCACGGCGGUAACAGGGUUCGAAUCCCCUAGGGGACGCCA
rnacentral:tRNA from 1 species